rnacentral:hammerhead_ribozyme from 1 species
AUCCAGCUGAUGAGUCUCAAAUAAGAUGAAAUGCUUGUCCUGGAU